GAUGAACGCUGGCGGCGUGCUUAACACAUGCAAGUCGAACGAGAAGUGAAGACGGAAACCUUCGGGCGGAAGGCUUUAUUUCGAGUGGCGGACGGGUGAGUAACGCGUGGGUAACCUGCCUCAUACAGGGGGAUAACAGUUGGAAACGACUGUUAAUACCGCAUCAGACCACAGCACCGCAUGGUGCGGGGGUAAAAACUCCGGUGGUAUGAGAUGGACCCGCGUUCGAUUAGCCAGUUGGCGGGGUAACGGCCCACCAAAGCGACGAUCGAUAGCCGAUCGGAGAGGAGGACCGGCCACAUUGGGACUGAGACACGGCCCAAACUCCUACGGGAGGGAGCAGUGGGGAAUAUUGCACAAUGGGGGAAACCCUGAUGCAGCGGCGCCGCGUGAGUGAAGAAGUAUUUCGGUAUGUAAAGCUCUAUCAGCAGGGAAGAAAAUGACGGUACCUGAGUAACAAGCCCCGGCUAACUACGUG
rnacentral:rRNA from 1 species